rnacentral:rRNA from 1 species
AGUGAACGCUGGCGGCAGGCCUAACACAUGCAAGUCGAACGGCAGCACAGAGGAGCUUGCUCCUUGGGUGGCGAGUGGCGGACGGGUGAGGAAUGCAUCGGAAUCUGCCUAUUUGUGGGGGAUAACGUAGGGAAACUUACGCUAAUACCGCAUACGUCCUACGGGAGAAAGUGGGGGGACCUUCGGGCCUCACGCAGAUAGAUGAGCCGAUGCCGGAUUAGCUAGUUGGCGGGGUAAAGGCCCACCAAGGCGACGAUCCGUAGCUGGUCUGAGAGGAUGAUCAGCCACACUGGAACUGAGACACGGUCCAGACUCCUACGGGAGGCAGCAGUGGGGAAUAUUGGACAAUGGGCGCGAGCCUGAUCCAGCCAUGCCGCGUGUGUGAAGAAGGCCUUCGGGUUGUAAAGCACUUUUGUCCGGAAAGAAAAGCGCUCGAUUAAUACUCGGGUGUUAUGACGGUACCGGAAGAAUAAGCACCGGCUAACUUCGUGCCAGCAGCCGCGGUAAUACGAAGGGUGCAAGCGUUACUCGGAAUUACUGGGCGUAAAGCGUGCGUAGGUGGUUUGUUAAGUCUGAUGUGAAAGCCCUGGGCUCAACCUGGGAACUGCAUUGGAAACUGGCUUACUAGAGUGCGGUAGAGGGGUGUGG